rnacentral:tRNA from 1 species
CGGGCGAUAGUUUAGUUUUAAAACCUUGGCUUUGGGUGCCGAAAAAGGGAGGGCGGAACUCCUUUACCCGA